AUGGGGAAGAGCUGCUGUGCUAUCGACUGCACUAAUAGAUUUGCAAAGGGGUCGGAGCAAAGUUUCUAUAGGCUACCGAAAGCAGCAGAAAAGAGACGGCGAUGGAUCACUGCGAUCCGGAGAGACAGCUGGUAUCCAGGCACCGAGACCUGGAUCUGCGGUUCACAUUUUGUGUCAGGAAAAAAGAGUGAUGAUCCUCUACACCCUGACUAUGUGCCGAGUUUAUUCAGCUUCACCUCUACUGCUGAUCGGACUCGGGCUGUCAACCACCUGGAGAGAUAUGUGCGAACUCAAAACGUUUCUGGCAAAAGACAUGAUGGGCUAACUGCAACAGACAGAAGUACUGCGUCAGAGCAAGAAUUACAGGUACAAACUGAAACUGGAGUCCAAGGCACUGAGGUCCAGACAGAGGAGACACACAA
rnacentral:lncRNA from 15 species